CUGUUUGGGUUUGUGCACCUUCAGGACCAAACUCUUCCCUCCAGAUUCCAAGAGAUGCUUGGCAUGGGACGCUUGGCACUCAAGCACAAAAUAGCUUCAUUUCUGUAUUUCAAGAGAAAACAUAGAGACAGAAAGAGGCACUUCAGUUUUUUUAGCUGUUGUUUUGUUACUUUUUAUUAUCAAUUUAUUUUUAUCUGCUUAAAAACCAACAAAAGCACAACCUCCUCGGCUGCUUUCUUCCUGCUUCUCUGCGGAUUAGCUCUUGUGUGUUGGACUGCUCCCAACAAGGCUUCAAGUGCUGUGGAGCCCGGCCUGAUAAUGCUGAAAGUCGAUGACUAAAACACAAAGCAGUCACAUGACCGCCAAACUUAGGAGGAGCGGAGGACGAGGGAACGAUGAUGAUAGCGGAUGGAGUAGGAGUUGGAGGAUGGAGAAUGGAGUGAACUCAGGAGCAGGUGAACACAGCUGUGGACCGCCAUGGGCUCUCUCUCUUCUUUUUUUCCCCUUGGCUUCUCUGUCUCGGAGGUUCCGAGGAGACGGCAGGGGCCAGCCAGCGAGCGCUGGAGUGGGCAGGCAGAGGCGGGCUGCUGCGCCCGCCGGCUAGCGGCUCGGCGGCACCGAGGAGGGAGGGAAAUCGAUGCGGAGGAAAGAGGCUGCCAGGGGUCGCCCAACGCAGCCUCCGGCCGCGGCACCGUGGGAUUCCAAAACGCUCGCCUAUCCCUCGCCCUACCCGCUCCCAGUCAACUCACAUCAGCCUGAGAGAGAGAGAGAGGGCCAGAAGCACCAACGAUGCUCCAUGUGAAAGAGCAAGAGAGAGUUUGUGCGCGUAUGUAUAUGUGUGUGGUUCCGCCGGAGGGACUUUCCAGCCCCAGCACCACUUGAUAAAACUUUGUCUGUGAGGAGAACGAGUAGAAAAAGAGUGUCAAAGGUCCUUUUUUUUUCUCCCCCCCACCCUCCUCGAUUCCUUUUUUCCGUAAGUGCACAUUCCCUGUGACUGUUUGAAUGAGCGCUUGACGGAGGAUCCCUCUUACUGUGAAUUGAGGAGGCCUUCUUUUUUUUACGGGCCCUCCUCCAAGCAUGUACAAAGUGCUCUACAUCAGAUGAGCUGGCAAGAGAGGACAACUUGAACUUUUCUCUUUUUUCCCAUUUUUAAGGACAUUUUUUCACCUUUUCAGUUGUAGAUUAAAUUAGAUGAUUUUUUUUAAAAUACUCUGAGAGCUUCUGAAAAAGGCUUUGGUUUUGAUCCACAUCAAGAGGCUUGGCACUGCCCUCAUGUACGUACUGCAAAAUUGCUGCUCCAUGGACCUCUGCAGUGCUACUUUUGAUAAGAUCAGGUUGAAAGGGAGGGCAGAGUGGACCAAGCUCCAAAAAGUCAUGAGUUUUCAGAAUAUUGGUCCUUAGCCUAAUGCUAAUACAAUUUUCCAUUUGGCAUGAGGAAUGCUCCAUUUCUCCCCUCCAGAACUUAUGGGAAUGAACUGAGGGACUCAUGAUGCUCAGGGUAAUACAUGUCCUUGUGGAUGCUUUGAGGAGUGAAGCUUGCCAGGAGAGGAGUCCAAAACCUUCUCAACUUUCUCAGCCAACUGGAUCCAAAAUGGUGUUAUGAAUUGCAGAAACACCUCCCUCAUAAUUUGCGGAAGUCAGAGAACAUGGCUUGAACGAAGGAAAAGAAGAUGGAUAUGGUAAUGAAAUUUUAUUCUGAAUGGUUAGUUAUAGUUUUGCUCUGUACUUUGUACGGGUAAGUAUUUUGGACCUUUAAAAAGGUAAGUUUCUGGUUUUGUCUUCUGGUGUAGCAGUAAUGGAGGACACCUUGAUAGUAAUAAUAAUAAUAAUGAUAACUUGAUUUGUAGAGCUCUCCUCAUACAGCUCAAAGUGCUUUGCAGAUGGCUGAUAAGGCUUAACAGUAAAAGAUGAAUAUUGUUCCGUUAUGUUUAAUGAAUAAUUCCACAUAUAUAUUACUAAUAAUAAUAAUCCAAUUAAUUGU